GAUGAACGCUAGCGGCAGGCUUAACACAUGCAAGUCGAGGGGCAGCAUGAACCGACCUUCGGGAAGGUUUGAUGGCGACCGGCGCAAGGGUGCGUAACGCGUGAGCAACUUGCCCGUUUCUGGGGAAUAACCGGUGGAAACGCCGACUAAUACCCCAUGGCAUUGAUUGGAGGCAUCUCCGAUCAAUUAAAGAAUUUCGGAAACGGAUAGGCUCGCGUGACAUUAGCUAGAUGGCGGGGUAACGGCCCACCAUGGCGACGAUGUCUAGGGGUUCUGAGAGGAAGGUCCCCCACACUGGAACUGAGACACGGUCCAGACUCCUACGGGAGGCAGCAGUGGGGGAAUAUUGGGCAAUGGGGGGAAACCCUGACCCCAGCAACGCCGCGUGAAGG
rnacentral:rRNA from 1 species